GACGAACCGUGCGAACGUUGUUCGGAAUCACUGGGCUUAAAGGGCGCGUAGGCGGGCGAUCAAGUCGAGGGGUGAAAGCCCGCGGCUCAACCGCGGAAGUGCCUUUGAUACUGGCGGUCUCGAGGGAGGUAGGGCGUGCGGAACUUCCGGUGGAGCGGUGAAAUGCGUAGAUAUCGGGAGGAACACCAGUGGCGAAGGCGGCGACCUGGACGGACACUGACGCUGAGACGCGAAAGCGUGGGGAGCAAACAGGG
rnacentral:rRNA from 1 species